rnacentral:rRNA from 1 species
UACGUAGGGGCGUAGCGUUGUCCGGAAUCAUUGGGCGUAAAGCGCGUGUAGGCGGUCCGGUAAGUCCGCUGUGAAAGUCGGGGGCUCAACCCUCGAAUGCCGGUGGAUACUGUCGGGCUAGAGUGCGGAAGAGGCGAGUGGAAUUCCUGGUGUAGCGGUGAAAUGCGCAGAUAUCAGGAGGAACACCAAUUGCGAAGGCAGCUCGCUGGGACGUUACUGACGCUGAGACGCGAAAGCGUGGGGGAGCAAACAGG